UACGGGGGGGGCAAGCGUUGUUCGGAAUUACUGGGCGUAAAGGGCGCGUAGGCGGUUUGCUAAGUUGGAUGUGAAAACUCUGGGCUUAACCCAGAGCCUGCAUCCAAAACUAGCAGGCUAGAGUUCUGGAGGGGAUAGCGGAAUUCCUGGUGUAGCGGUGAAAUGCGUAGAUAUCGAGAGGAACACCUGCGGCGAAGGCGGGUUGCUGGGCUGACACUGACGCUGAUGCGCGAAAGCCAGGGGAGCGAACGGG
rnacentral:rRNA from 1 species